CGGCGGACGGGUGAGUAACGCGUGGGUAACUUGCCUCAUACAGGGGGAUAACAGUUGGAAACGGCUGCUAAUACCGCAUAAGCGCACAGUACCGCAUGGUACGGUGUGAAAAACUCCGGUGGUAUGAGAUGGACCCGCGUCUGAUUAGGUAAUUGGUGGGGUAACGGCCUACCAAGCCGACGAUCAGUAGCCGACCUGAGAGGGUGACCGGCCACAUUGGGACUGAGACACGGCCCAA
rnacentral:rRNA from 1 species